rnacentral:rRNA from 1 species
UACGAAGGGUGCGAGCGUUAAUCGGAAUUACUGGGCGUAAAGCGCACGUAGGUGGCGACGUAAGUCGGGUGUGAAAGCCCCGGGCUCAACCUGGGAAUUGCAUUUGAGACUGCAUUUCUGGAGUACGGAAGAGGUGGGUGGAAUUCCCGGUGUAGCGGUGAAAUGCGUAGAUAUCGGGAGGAACAUCAGUGGCGAAGGCGGCCCUCUGGUCCAGUACUGACGCUCAAGUGCGAAAGCGUGGGGAGCAAACAGG